rnacentral:rRNA from 1 species
UGGGGAAUAUUGCGCAAUGGGCGAAAGCCUGACGCAGCAACGCCGCGUGGGGGAUGAAGGUUCUCGGAUUGUAAACCCCUUUCGAUCGGAACGAAUCUCCUCCUGGUAAAUAAUCAGGAGGAUCGACGGUACCGGGAGAAGAAGCCACGGCUAACUCUGUGCCAGCAGCCGCGGUAAGACAGAGGUGGCGAGCGUUGUUCGGAUUUAUUGGGCGUAAAGCGAACGCAGGUGGUUUGGUAAGUCAGAGGUGAAAGACCACAGCUUAACUGUGGCACUGCCUUUGAUACUGCCUUUCUAGAGUGCAUGAGGGGGAAGCGGAAUUCCGAGUGUAGAGGUGAAAUUCGUAGAUAUUCGGAGGAACACCGGUGGCGAAGGCGGCUUCCUGGCAUGUAACUGACACUCAUGUUCGAAAGCGUGGGUAGCAAACAGG